GUGUCCAAAACCUUCGGUGCCUCCUGAUUGUGGAGGGAAACUUUUCCUUCUCAAUUAAAUCAUGGAGAUCGUGACCGAAGGCAACGGGCUCAGAAAGGAUUUGUUUUCCUGGGAUUUGAGAUCAUGGCAAGUAGGAAAAGAGCUCCAGCAGGUGACACAACAAAUCCUGGGGCUUACACCAGAUUUGAAGGAUAAUGAUGAAGAAACUAAAGAUAUUUUCAAGGAUAAUAACGAAGAAACUACAGAUAUUUUCAAGCUUCACAGCAUCACACCCUUAAUUUCAAUGUUUUGGGUAACUGCCUCUCUCCCUCCCAAGUUAUUGCAAUUUUAUCAUUAUUAAAUGCCACAACUUCUAUCUCAGUAAAAGAAAUACAGGCAAGAAAACAACCUGACUGAUUGUUUGGGUGGUGGAUUAGCAGCACCUCAGAGAGAAGGGAAGUGUUUCAGAGCAGUGCCUGUUCCACUCAGUGAUCCUGUUUCAUUCUCCUUUCCUUUCCUCGUGUGAUAAAUGGCAUGAAAUGGGGUCAUGGAACCUGAACACUUCACUCCAAACAGUCGACUCUUCUUUCUAAUCAGCACCCAGGAGCACAGAAAACAGGGUAUUCCUGAGCAGAAUUAAUUGCACUUAAAAGGAAAUGUGAAUGCACUAGAGAAGCUUCUCUAUUACGGGGGACAGAAAAUCCAAAAACGGAUUUCCAGCUUUUCAGGUGCUAAAAUUGUGGUAAUUAAACAGCACAACCCAAUUUUCAUGUCACCAUCCCUAGGAAGCUCUGUGAGGACUUACAACCCCUAAAUGGGACAAAACAAAGGCUUGGUCCCAGCCUCUGGAAAACUGGCUGGAAUCCCCUGGGUUGCUGCUUGGACACAUCUAAGUCCAUCAGUUGGGAACCAGCAGCUUUCCUGUGUGUGGGGCAGGCCCAACUUCCACCGAACUGCAGAAUUUAUCAACUACCACAAAAUUAUUCCUGGGGUGGGCCCAGAAAGGGGGCUCAGAAGUCUCUUUGGAAUGGGGACCACAGGGAAAAUUAGAGAAUCCAGAAUGACUGGAAGGGACCUUAAAGCUCAUCCAGUUCCACCCCCUGCCAUGGGCAGAAACUCCUUCCACUAUCCCAGAGUGCUCCAACCUGGCCUGGGACACUUCCAAGGAAAAUGAUGUUCUGCUGAAGCCUGUUGGAGGCUGGGAAUGUUUUGUAUUUGGCACAACUGCACAGUCCCUUUCUCAGGUUGGUGUUACUUUUUGGGAUCUAUAAUAACCAUAUUUCUAUGACUAUUAGUACUUAAUUAAAGGAAAGCAGUGUCUCCAUAUGGGAAUGCUCUUCUGACCCGUGAUUAAUCCCUUUUUAGCUCAGAAAACAGCACUUAAAUCCACUGAGGCUCUUUUAUACCUUCACAUGGGUCAGUGUUAAAUCCAUAUCACAAUAUAAAUCAAGAGAUACUGAUCUAGGAACUUAUAUAUAGAUAGAUAGAUGGGAAAAAUCUGUUUAUUCAUGCUACCAGGUGUGAUCAACAGAAGCACAAGGCAGUGGGGCUGCCAUAAAAUGAAGUUCUGGAGGAAAAUAUUAGUCCAAAACCCCAAAGGGUUUCCAGCCCCUCUCUUGUCUUUGCUCAGCAAGCGUCAAAAGGAAAGUUUGUCCUCAUUUUGCAGCCUGAGAAAAGGCACUUCUGAGCUCCUG